AUGCUCACUUUGGCAGUAUGUAUACUAAAAUUGGAACGAAGCAUGGUCCCUGUGCGAGGAUGACAUGCAAAUUUGUGAAGCAUUCCAUAUUUAA
rnacentral:snRNA from 1 species